CUCCCCUAGCCACAGGGCUGGGCCUUAACAAUACCAUGACACCUCUCAUCCUCCUAGAAAGGGCCAGAGACAGCUCACUCCCUACCCAAGGAGGCUUGGCGGCUGCUGCAUUUCCCAAGGGGAGAAGCCACCAAAACAGGCCUCAAGAGAGACUGGCCCAGGCAUAAAUUGACACUUAAACUCCUGGGGAAGGAGCGGAUACCAGAAUUAAUGCCACAGAGCAGCCUCUUUUGUGGAUUAGAGCAUCUGAGAAGCUGGAACAGAACAAGCUAGCGCCAUCAAAAUUGAGUGACUCUUUCCUUCUAGAACAAUGGGUUUUCUACCAGAAGAGCUAUUGACUUUGAAUGGUUCUCUGCACAGCAGCUGAUGGGAUAGGGGCUACCCAGAAUUUCUCCAUCUGAAGCACAUAGGCCACAGGAGGAAAGACAUGCCAAAAGAUCAAGCUAAGAAGAAGGAAGGCAGGAAGGGCUGCAUCACCUCUGGUCACUGACUAAACCCAGGACUUACGGAGGGGUGAGAUCAGAUUUUGAGGGCUGCAUUCAGGACUCUCUGCUAUACAAAGAUCUGUAACUCUCCAGAGUGCUUGGUUCAGAGUAAAGUGUCUGUGGUUAACAAA